rnacentral:rRNA from 1 species
CCUACGGGAGGCAGCAGUGAGGAAUAUUGGUCAAUGGGCGUAAGCCUGAACCAGCGAAGUCGCGUGAGGGAUGAAGGUUCUAUGGAUCGUAAACCUCUGUUAUAAGGGAAUAAAGUGUGGGACGUGUCAUAUUUUGUAUGUACCUUAUGAAUACGGAUCGGCUAACUCUGUGCCAGCAGCCGCGGUAAUCCGGAGGAGCCGAUCGUUAUCCGGAUUUAUUGGGUUGAAAGGGUGCGUAGGUGGCCUUGUAAGUCAGCGGUGAAAGUCUGUGGCUCAACCAUAGAAUUGCCGUUGAAACUGGGAGGCUUGAGUAUGUUUGAGGCAGGCGGAAUGCGUGGUGUAGCGGUGAAAUGCUUAGAUAUCACGCGGAACCCCGAUGGCGAAGGCAGCCUGCCAAGCCAUGACUGACGCUGAUGCACGAAAGCGUGGGGAUCAAACAGGAUUAGAUACCCCAGUAGUC